AAACUUACUUGGUUGGGAAUGGCUCAGCUCAAGCAUUGUGCUGUUCUAUUCUGGAGCAGGGCUCUGCACUCAGCUGUCUGUAAAGGGGUACGGACCCUCUCUGGGGGUAUCGACAACACAAUUUUUGCUAGAGGCGUCUCACCAACUGGUGGACGCCAA